UUUUACCAAACAUGGCCUUUUGAUUAUCAAUAUAAGGUCUGGCCUGCCCAAUGAUUUUAUUUAAUGGCCGCAGUAUCUUGACUGUGCAAAGGUAGCAUAAUCAUUUGUCCUUUAAUUGAGGACUUGUAUGAAUGGUCGUAUGAGGGAUAAGCUUUCUUUAUUUUAUAUAUAAAAACUUAAUCUAUAAGUCAAAAAGCUUAUAUAAUUUUAAGGGACGAGAAGACCCUAUAGAACUUUACCUAUAUAUAUAAGUACUUGAUUUAUAUAAUUAUACAAAUAUUUAUGUAUAUAAGUUUUGUUGGGGUGACAGUUAAAUUUAAUUAACUUUAAUUGAAUAAUAACUCAAUAAUUAUUGAUUUAUAUUGAUCCUAUAUUAUAGAUUAUAAGAAUAAGUUACCUUAGGGAUAACAGCGUAAUUCUAUUGGAGAGUUCAUAUUAAUAAUGGAGUUUGCGACCUCGAUGUUGGAUUAAAAUAAGUAUUAAGUGCAUAAGCUUAAUGACUAAGUCUGUUCGACUUAUAAUUUUUUACAUGAUUGGUUUUUU
rnacentral:rRNA from 1 species